rnacentral:miRNA from 1 species
GAGAGGAUGGGAGGAAUGAGUAACAAAAGUGAAAACAAUUUUAAAUAGAUUUCAGUUUUUAAUUUUUGUUUUCACUUUUGUUACUCAUCCCUUCCAUUUUCCC